ensembl:lncRNA
UAUUUAUUUAUAUUCCACCCACUCUACCCAAAGGUCUCUGGGCAGUUUACAACAAUUAAAAUUCAAUUAAAAUACAAUAAUAUUUGUCACCUUUUACUUUUGUUUCUCACCUGUCUUUCAAAAUUUUAAUUGUUUCUGCCAUAAUUCAUCUAGGUUUCUGUUUUCAUUUUACUACAGGUGUUAAAUUUUUGCGUCUUUCUCCAAAACUGUCUCUGGUUUCAAUGUAUAGUUCUUCUGGUUCAUAGUCAGUUGAGGUUAGUAAUGGAAAUUUGUUCAUUACGUAGACUUUAAAUUAAUCAGGAAUGUUCUUUCAAUUAUAUUUUGACACUAUGAUAUGGUUUGCUUAGAUCUCAAGUCCAUUUUAUCGAUGAAAGCUUGCUACUUUUAUUUUUUAGUGGGCCAAUGAAAGGUAUCACCUACUCUGUAUUUGUGUAAUCUCCAGGACUACACCAGCUCUUUCCUUUUUUUGUUAUGAUUCUUUUAUUGUAGUUUUUCAGUUUUACUCUAAUAAUGGAUAUUGACAGUUCAUAAUCAGUACCACAAUCUCCUCCUGGUCUUGUUUUGGCAGAAAGAAUAAAGCUUCUCCAUCUCCUUCCAAUUACAUCAUCUAUUUGAUUUGCAUACUUGAUUUGUGAUGUCCACAUAUACUGUCAUCUAUUCAGUUGAUUGAAGCAUGUGUUUGCAAUUAACAGAUUGUUGACUUCGCAAAAUUCUAUGAGUCAUUCUAUUGCUUCAUUUCUAUCCCCAAGGCCUAAUUUUCCAAGAUUUGAUUCUGUUUUGUUCUCUUCAGUAGCGUUACAAGGGGAAAAAAACUAUAAAUCUCUGUCAAAAGGAUGACAGAAUCCUCUCUGUUAACAGCAGGCUGAAGUCAGAAUGUUCCCAGGAGCACCCAUGUACACGAGCAACUCUGGGGGAAGCUCAUACUUUGCAAAAGUACUAAACCUUUUAGGAAGGGGUGGAGAAAUUGGGCUGAACACACUGAAACAGCUUUUCCUGCUUGGAAAUGGAAUACCAAGGACUUCUGGUCCCUGUAACUGAGAUAUGUGGAUUUCUUCAACUCACUUUGGUUCCCGCAAUCCCAUGAAUAUCCCACUGGAUUCAGUGAGACUUAUUUCCAGGUAAGUGUGAAUAGGACUGCAGUUGAGCACAAGCUUGUGCGUUCUGCGUUAUUGGGUUUUUGUGUUCAGUACAAUAAUUGUAUGCUGUCAAGUUGAUUCCAAUUUAUUGUGACCCUUGUCAAGGUUUUCUAGGGUAAAGAAUACUCGGAAGUGGUUUUCCAUUUAAUUUUUUAAAUGUAUCUGGUUGGGGAGCCGGAGGUUGGGACUUUGAUUCCCCACUGUGCCUCCUGGGAGAACAGUCAGAAGAAAGGAAUGGGAAACCAUCUCUGAGCAUUCUUUACUUGGAAAACCCUGAAAAGAGUUGCCAUAAAUCAGAAUUGACUUGACAGCACAUUUAUUAAUUAUAUAUAUUUAUUUUUAAUUGUAGAAGUAUGUAUUAAAAAUAGGAUGUAUUGUUAUGCAUCCUUGUGAUAAAACAAAACCAAUGUAUAUGAUUUUUUUGGUAUUUGAUUAAGAGCUGUUGCAUAUGAAAUAAUUAGAUCGGUGCAUUCAGAUGCUGUGUCUGUUUAAUCUGUUGCUUGCAGUGGGAUUGAUCCACGUAUUAGUCCCAACUAUAACAGACCAAUAGAAUGAAUUAGAUCUGUUAGGUCGACACUUAAGUCCCAUUCAUUCUAGAGUAGACCAAUUGAUUAGUCUCUAAUAGAGUAGACCAGUGAUGGUGAAACUUUUUGAGCCCGAGUGCCCAAACUGCAAUACAAAAUCAACUUAUUUAUUUCAAAGUGCCAACACUGCAAUUAAAACCUGAAUGCUGAGGUUUUAGUUUAGAAAAAACAACUGUUCCUGCAUUGCAAGGGCUGAAUGCUUAUUCCCCCCCCCAUGGGCAGUACUGUAUUAACAAAUAAA